rnacentral:rRNA from 1 species
UACAGAGGUGGCAAGCGUUGUUCGGAAUUACUGGGCGUAAAGCGUGCGCAGGCGGUGAUGUAAGACAGUUGUGAAAUCCCCGGGCUCAACCUGGGAACUGCAUCUGUGACUGCAUUGCUGGAGUGCGGCAGAGGGGGAUGGAAUUCCGCGUGUAGCAGUGAAAUGCGUAGAUAUGCGGAGGAACACCGAUGGCGAAGGCAAUCCCCUGGGCCUGCACUGACGCUCAUGCACGAAAGCGUGGGGAGCAAACAGG